UACAGAGGGUGCGAGCGUUGUUCGGAAUUAUUGGGCGUAAAGGGCGCGUAGGCGGCGCCACAAGUCACUUGUGAAAACUCUGGGCUCAACUCAGAGCCUGCAAGCGAAACUGUGGUGCUGGAGUAUGGGAGAGGUGCGUGGAAUUCCCGGUGUAGCGGUGAAAUUCGUAGAUAUUCGGAAGAACACCAGUGGCGAAGGCGGCUCACUGGCCCGGUACUGACGCUGAGGUGCGAAAGCGUGGGGAGCAAACAGG
rnacentral:rRNA from 1 species